CACAAGCAAAGGGCCAGGACUAAUUGCAAUCCCCAUCUCACGAAGCUCCUUCAGAGUACGACGAGGUCUGUCUUAGGGGCUGGAUGUGUUCACUUGGCUGAGCCUCUUAAUUCUGGGCCUUUGCAGCAGCAUUACCUGCAGAGACACUUUUCCUCUUUGCCAGUUUCUCCUGCCAACGUGGAGAUGACUCAGAGGCAAGUUCUGAGGACUUCUCUCAGAAAUUACUUGUUUCUGCUGGGCUGCUUCUACCUAUUACUUUGCUUGCACCUAAAAGAAAGAGAUGUAUCUGAAGCAGUUACUGAUUCUGGGGAUGCACUGAGUUACAGCUGGUACCAGAAGGUAACUGGAGUUUCUGAGGAGGACAAUCCCAGUCCUGCUCACCUCCCCAGAUCCCCACAUACCUUGUGAUGCCAGCGCAGCUCGCUCUCACUACGAUCAGCUUCUACCAACUACCCCAAAGCUGAAGGGAUGGGGAUGGCCUCAGACCUUCCCAUGGCAAAUCACCAACGCAUGUGACAGCCUCUCUCUCUCUGCAUACGUGGAGAGGCUUCCAGCCAGCGCUGUCGUGGAGUAAAGCUGAAAAUAUGCCUCUCUAAGGCUCAAAAGCCUGAAGGCAACAACGAACAAAUAAACCAAACCUGUUGUUUUGAACCCUAACUGAAAAGAAAGGUGGAGGAAGGUAAACAUGCUGUCAAGAUAUAUUGAAGACUUGUGAAAAUAAAGCAAUUUAAAACUGACAUCUAAGAGAAGAGUUCUUUCAUGGGUUUCCCUUUUUAAUCAUAUUCCCUCAGCAAUUACAAUUCAAAUGCUACAGCAGCGUGCAAACUUGUGCAUGAAAUGCAAUAGCAGAAUGAAGCGGCCAACAGUCAAUUAGAGUGAUACUCUGCAGUUCAUUCCCAUUGCAGGGAGAGAAUAAAACCUAAAAUUCGACCCAGAUGGGGAUUUGUGACAACGCUGCAUGCCAUGCCCCACCCCUGUGCACUCUUCUUCACACUCACCACUUUUUCCAGCCGCAGCUGAGGUUGUGCACGUGCAACAAAGUGAGCAGAGAGUUCUUGUGCAUGUCUCUGGAUCAGCACAAUGCAUGUGGCUCUCUGGAGGGAGGAGGCAGGUAACGGGCUGGGAUGUAAGCUCUUCUUUCCCAUCCUCCAGUCCUCAUGAAGAAGUAGCAGCUCUUGUUCAUGCGAUCCCAAGGGAGGGAGGGGCUUGAAUUUUGGGUGGUCCUGUGUGGGGCCAGACAUGGGGCUAGAUAAUCCUUGUGGGUCCCUUCCAACUCAGGCUCUUAUAUGAUUCUACAAUUCUAAGUGUAUUGGCAGAGCCGCAAGCAAUGUCUGUCUGGACAGACAGAGAUUCUCCCCAGACUGCAUUUGCAAAAGCUAACAAAACUGCCUGCAAAGUGAGAACACGGCAAUCUCAUUAUGAGACACUUUAUCAGCCUUCCUGCCAAGGGAGGGCAAUGGCACCGAGCUGCACCUCCUCCUUGCCAAAACUGUCAGCUCUCCUGGAAGCUGCACCUGCCUGCCUGGAGACAAGCCAGGCAACAGCCAGGGACUGCACAGUGCCCUGACAGCGACUGCCAGGAGGGCUCAUGGCACCCAACAUGGGGGGCGGACCAGCAGGCCACAGAGCCCCGGCCUCAGAGCCCCGCUGCUACCAGAGCCUGGCCCGGAGCCCUGGGCUCAAAGAUGGGGAAGCUCCUUGAAGCCUCAUUAGAGAAUUGAAAUGGGAUGGAGUUGCAAAACAGCUCAUUUCUUGACUUAAAAAAUGGAGUUAAUAUUUGCCAGCCAGGAUGAAGAGUGGCCUGGACCAUCAACAGGCUCAGUGGGGCUUGCUGCGCUGCUGAGGGCUCGCUGGGUCUCUGUGAUAGUUGCCCAUGGUCGUCAGUCUUCUGCUGUGUGCUUUAUGAACUUGCUCAAGUUCAUUUUGAGGACAAAAGCCAGCAGUCCGAUCCUGGUUGGCCCUGCAGGUGGGCAGACAGACAAAGCCCUGCAGGAGAACAGCCGUGGCCAGGGGCCCAUGGGCACUGUGCAGCCCCCAGGUGAGCCCAGGCACUGGGGAAAGGAUGCUCUUAUCUCUGCCUUGUGCUGCAGCAGACCUGGAAGCAGAUGCAGAUCUUGAACCCAUGUCCGUGCUGAGGCUGAGCCCCUACUCCUGCCCCAGCAUGCUUGCAUUUCUCUCGCUCCAGUGGGGUCCAUCCGCUGCUAUGGCUCUGUGCCCAGAAGGUUUGGGGAUGCAGAUCUGAGAUGCGGGGGGACAGCACUGAAGCUCAUCCUUGUCCAUGGACUGGGAGCUCUCCUUGAUGUGGCAUACCUGCCUCAUCCCCAGGGCUUUUCUCAUUGCCUGCUUUUCUUUUUCCUAUUUUUCCCCCCAAUAUUUAAUCCCAUGUUAAAUUCUUCUUCAAUCUCUCAACAUUUUGCAAGUCUCUCUAUUUUCUUCUUCUUCUUCUUUUUUUUGCUGUGAAGGAUUUCUAAUCCCUCUGUAUCGAGACUUCAUACCUUGCUCCGCCACUGUGCUCUGAUCAUUUAAACAUGAGCUCUUUGCACAUUACACCUGUUUGACAUAAAUUCUUGCAUGUUCCCUAGGAAGAAAAUUAUCCUCU
ensembl:lncRNA